rnacentral:rRNA from 1 species
CAGUAGCCGCGGGAAUACAGAGGGUGCGAGCGUUAAUCGGAUUUACUGGGCGUAAAGCGUGCGUAGGCGGCUUUUUAAGUCGGAUGUGAAAUCCCUGAGCUUAACUUAGGAAUUGCAUUCGAUACUGGGAAGCUAGAGUAUGGGAGAGGAUGGUAGAAUUCCAGGUGUAGCGGUGAAAUGCGUAGAGAUCUGGAGGAAUACCGAUGGCGAAGGCAGCCAUCUGGCCUAAUACUGACGCUGAGGUACGAAAGCAUGGGGAGCAAACAGGAUUAGAGACCCGUGUAGUCCCUGUCUCUUAUAC